AAUGAGAUGUGCUGAACAGUAGCGCUGCGAAGCAUGGCGGGCGAACGAAAUCACCCCCCAAAAUCAAACGCAUUAAGGAUCGUUUUAACCCGGAAUAUGCUGAUAUUAUAAUAUCCGUUUCUGUAGGGUGAACUAAUUGGUUUUCCUUACCUUAGCCAUGUAGAUUGUGCGUGGGAGUAGACUGCACGACUACAAGCCUUCCGACGGUUUCGCACUGAUCUGCAUUUUUGAGGGAAGAUUAGAAGGCAACGAAGCGGCGUCAAACAGCUCACACAAUGAAUAUUUGUGUUUGUAACAUUACGAAGUUCUAUUCCUAUACUGCGCAAGUGCGACCGGAUGUAAGUGACCAUUUCCUGAACUUGACUCAACGUUCUCCUUUAAGCAAUUGUGAAAGAAAUCGAUAUCCCUGUGGGUAGAGAUCAUUGGAAAUCCUCCGAGGGGAACGCAUGGCGGAAGAAACGUCCAGGUUGGCCUAUAAAAUGAGGUUACACAGAACUACACGUGCCUGCGAGGAGGUCGCUCCUGCUGUUGGUUGCAAAGAAGCGAUCCUGCUGUGGCACUUCAGCUCCCUGUUUUCACCUCUUGGACAUGGACUCCACUUUGGCCUCAAAAGAGAACAAAUGGAAUUUCACUGUCAAGAGGCGCUCUGCUUGGUUUAGGGCGCACUGCCGGGCCUUCAGUCUGCAGCCAUGUCCAGUUUGGUAUGAUUCUCCUGAUGACAACGGCUGAACUGGCCGGCGGGUAUCCAGUACCUUCUGACUACUUCGUUGGACCCAUUCGAAUGGUGACAUUUAAGAGAUCCUUACAUAAGAAGGUAUUGAGUAACCUGCUGAAUUAGCACUCUGUACCCCUAGCAUAAGGCCUCAGCACUUGCUUAUCUCCUGUUACCCCUGUGUAUGAUAGUUGCCUCCUGCCACCCUUGUGUACUAAUU